GCUUUACACAUGCAAGUCGAACGAUGAACCUUAGCUUGCUAAGGGGAUUAGUGGCGAACGGGUGAGUAAUAUAUCGGAACGUGCCUUGUAAUGGGGGAUAACUAGUCGAAAGAUUAGCUAAUACCGCAUACGCCCUGAGGGGGAAAGCGGGGGAUCGUAAGACCUCGCGUUAUUGGAGCGGCCGAUGCCGGAUUAGCUAGUUGGUGGGGUAAAGGCCUACCAAGGCGACGAUCCGUAGCUGGUCUGAGAGGACGACCAGCCACACUGGGACUGAGACACGGCCCAGACUCCUACGGGAGGCAGCAGUGGGGAAUUUUGGACAAUGGGCGCAAGCCUGAUCCAGCCAUGCCGCGUGAGUGAAGAAGGCCUUCGGGUUGUAAAGCUCUUUCGCAAGGAAAGAAAACUUAGCUACUAAUACUAGCUGAGGAUGACGGUACCUUGAUAAGAAGCACCGGCUAACUACGUGCCAGCAGCCGCGGUAAUACGUAGGGUGCGAGCGUUAAUCGGAAUUACUGGGCGUAAAGCGUGCGCAGGCGGUUCGAUAAGUCUGAUGUGAAAUCCCCGGGCUCAACCUGGGAACUGCGUUGGAAACUGUCGAGCUAGAGUGUAGAAGAGGGGGGU
rnacentral:rRNA from 1 species